AUUGAACGCUGGCGGCAGGCUUAACACAUGCAAGUCGAGCGGAGCGAGGGUGCUUGCACCUUAGCUUAGCGGCGGACGGGUGAGUAAUGCUUAGGAAUCUGCCUAUUAGUGGGGGACAACAUUCCGAAAGGAAUGCUAAUACCGCAUACGUCCUACGGGGGAAAGCAGGGGAUCUUCGGACCUUGCGCUAAUAGAUGAGCCUAAGUCGGAUUAGCUAGUUGGUGGGGUAAAGGCCUACCAAGGCGACGAUCUGUAGCGGGUCUGAGAGGAUGAUCCGCCACACUGGGACUGAGACACGGCCCAGAAUCCUACGGGAGGUAGCAGUGGGGAAUAUUGGACAAUGGGCGGAAGCCUGAUCCAGCCAUGCCGCGUGUGUGAAGAAGGCCUUUUGGUUGUAAAGCACUUUAAGCGAGGAGGAGGCUACUAGUACUAAUACUACUGGAUAGUGGACGUUACUCGCAGAAUAAGCACCGGCUAACUCUGUGCCAGCCGCCGCAGUAACAC
rnacentral:rRNA from 1 species